rnacentral:rRNA from 1 species
GCAAAGCUGAAACUUAAAGGAAUUGACGGAAGGGCACCACCAGGAGUGGAGCCUGUGGCUUAAUUUGACUCAACACGGGAAACCUCACCCGGUCCGGACACUGGAAGGAUUGACAGACUAAAGCUCUUUCUUGAUUCAGUGGGUGGUGGUGCAUGGCCGUUCUUAGUUGGUGGAGUGAUUUGUCUGGUUAAUUCCGAUAACGAACGAGACUCUCGCCUGCUAAAUAGUUUUCCAUACGUUAGGUUAUGGAACGUAAACUUCUUAGAGGUACAAGUGGCGUUUAGCCACACGAAACAGAGCAAUAACAGGUCUGUGAUGCCCUUAGAUGUCCGGGGCCGCACAUGUGCUACAAUGAAUGCAUCAACGUGUAUCAGCCUCGCCCGAAAGGGUUGGGGAAUCCGCUGAACGGCAUUCUCAGUAGGGAUUGGGGAUUGCAAUUAUUUCCCAUGAACACGGAAUUCCCAGUAGGCGCCAGUCAUCAGCUGGCGUCGAUUGAGUCCCUGCCCUUUGUACACACCGCCCGUCGCUACUACCGAUCGCUCUUGUUAAUGAGCUUGUCAGAUUGGACCCGGUGAGCAGUCGUUGGUUUCAUCUCCUCGCGGGGUGUGCCUUCGUCUGCGAGCUUUUGGUGUAUGCCGAGAAGAUCGGCAAAUUAUCUGGAGUAGAGGAAGUAAAAGUCGUAACAAGGUAUCCGUAGGUGAACCUGCGGAUGNNNNNNNNNNAGAGAGAGAAAAACACCCGAGACAAACUCGUCUGUUUCCUCAAAGUCGGGGAACGGUCACGCAAGCCGACCUCAGAUCAG